GCUGUUGCUUAUACGAUAUAUAUUUCAAGAGAUCAUUGUUCAACAUUAGUACACUAUAGUGACUAUACGUUGCACAAGCUGUGAUUUUGGAACAAAUUACCAGAAUAUGGUGUCGUUUUGCGUGAAGACAGUUUUACUUUUGAUGUUCUUUACCUACUUAACUUCUACAAAUGCACUAAGCUGAGGACAAAAUGCGUGACUCGCAAGAUUAAAGAAACCGCAGGUCAGAGCAGUUUCUGGUGUUGACGGAUUCCAAGAAAGAAGAAGGCGAGAAACAGAGAGUGAAGAUGAAAUUAUUGAACGGUUGGUUGACGCUGGAAUGAAUAAUUAACAGUUAGCACGUGGAUAAAAGACUGUAGAAGAAAAGUAAAAUAAUAUGGGAAGAAUAGAAAGAAAUUAGAAAGAAUAUCGUUGCAUGUAAUAGAGGGUAUUUCAGUGAAACAAUAUUUUCAAAAGAUAAGGCAAUUGAUUUAUACAAAAUAAAGUCAGAUCAAUCAUGCAUAUAUAUAUAUGACGUUUCAU